AGCGAACGCUGGCGGCAGGCCUAACACAUGCAAGUCGAGCGGAUGAAGAGAGCUUGCUCUCUGAUUUAGCGGCGGACGGGUGAGUAAUGCCUAGGAAUCUGCCUGGUAGUGGGGGAUAACGUUCCGAAAGGAACGCUAAUACCGCGUACGUCCUACGGGAGAAAGCAGGGGACCUUCGGGCCUUGCGCUAUCAGAUGAGCCUAGGUCGGAUUAGCUAGUUGGUGAGGUAAUGGCUCACCAAGGCGACGAUCCGUAACUGGUCUGAGAGGAUGAUCAGUCACACUGGAACUGAGACACGGUCCAGACUCCUACGGGAGGCAGCAGUGGGGAAUAUUGGACAAUGGGCGAAAGCCUGAUCCAGCCAUGCCGCGUGUGUGAAGAAGGUCUUCGGAUUGUAAAGCACUUUAAGUUGGGAGGAAGGGCAGUAAGUUAAUACCUUGCUGUUUUGACGUUACCGACAGAAUAAGCACCGGCUAACUUCGUGCCAGCAGCCGCGGUAACAC
rnacentral:rRNA from 1 species